ensembl:lncRNA
AUUGGAAGGGAUUAUAAAGACCAUCUAGUUUCAAUCUCCCUGUCAUGGCUGGGGAAAUAUCCCACUUGAUCAGGCUGCCCAAAGCCCCAUCCAAUGAGGCCUUGAACACCUCCAGAGAAAGGGCAUCAGUAAGUUCGGGCAACCUGUGCCAGUGUCUCACCAGCUACUGAGUAAAAAAAUUCUUCCUAAUAUCUAAUCUAAAUCUACCCUCAUACCCCUCAUACUUUUUGAGAUUUUUCUUUGAAACUAAUCUGAAUCUACCUUCUUUUAGUUUAAAGCCAUUACUCCUUGUUCUGUCACUCCAUGCUCUUGCAGAAAGGCCUUGUUCAGAAAUUUUGUGUGCCCCAUUUAUUUAUUGGAAGACUGCAGUAAGGUCUCCACGAGGCCUUCUCCAGGCUGGAUAACCCAACUCUCAGCCUGUCUCCAUUGCGUUUGUGUGCCCUGUGAUCAUCAUUUUGGCCUCCUCUGAACCUGCUGCAACAGCUCCGUGCCCUUGUGCUGGGGACCCAGAGCUGAAUGCAGUAGUGCAGGAGGGGCCUCACAAGAGCAGAGCAGAGGGAGACAGUCAUCUCCCUCACCCUGCCAGUCUCGCUGCUUUUCAUCCAGCCCAGAAUACAGUUGGCUUUCUGGGCUGCAUGUGCACACUGCCAGCUCACGUUGAGCUCAUCAACCAACACCUCCAAGUCCUUCUCAGGGCUGCUCUCAGGCCGUUCUCCCAGCCAGUAUUUGUGUAUGGGAAUACCCCAAUACAGCUGCAGGGCCCUGCACUUGGCCUUGUUGAACUUGAUGAGGUUAGUACUGGCCCACCUCCAAAGAAUGUUCAAGGUCAUUCUGGUUGGCAUCUUCCCCUCAUGUGUUGACCUUCAGCAAUUAAUUUGUUGAAGUCAGUGGGCAGAUCAUUUUAUUCUCAAACUGAAAAUCUGUUGAGACUCUUUUAGCUUCAGGAAAUUUGCCUAGCUUCACUUGUAGCUGUAAGACCAUGUUUUGGCAUAGCAUUUACAGAGGAAGUAUCUGGUUUUCUUGUUACACACAAGUUUGUUACAUCAUUUUGUUUUUGUUUUUUUGUUGUUGUUGUUGUUGUUUGUUUUAUGUAGCUAUUUAACUUUGCUUUUAAAAUUUAAAAGCAAUUAACU